GAUGAACGCUGGCGGCGUGCCUAAUACAUGCAAGUCGAGCGAACGGACGAGAAGCUUGCUUCUCUGAUGUUAGCGGCGGACGGGUGAGUAACACGUGGAUAACCUACCUAUAAGACUGGGAUAACUUCGGGAAACCGGAGCUAAUACCGGAUAAUAUUUUGAACCGCAUGGUUCAAAAGUGAAAGACGGUCUUGCUGUCACUUAUAGAUGGAUCCGCGCUGCAUUAGCUAGUUGGUAAGGUAACGGCCUACCAAGGCAACGAUGCGUAGCCGACCUGAGAGGGUGAUCGGCCACACUGGAACUGAGACACGGUCCAGACUCCUACGGGAGGCAGCAGUAGGGAAUCUUCCGCAAUGGGCGAAAGCCUGACGGAGCAACGCCGCGUGAGUGAUGAAGGUCUUCGGAUCGUAAAACUCUGUUAUUAGGGAAGAACAUAUGUGUAAGUAACUGUGCACAUCUUGACGGUACCUAAUCAGAGAGCCACGGCUAACUACGUGCCAGCAGCCGCGGUAAUACGUAGGUGGCAAGCGUUAUCCGGAAUUAUUGGGCGUAAAGCGCGCGUAGGCGGUUUUUUAAGUCUGAUGUGAAAGCCCACGGCUCAACCGUGGAGGGUCAUUGGAAACUGGAAAACUUGAGUGCAGAAGAGGAAAGUGGAAUUCCAUGUGUAGCGGUGAAAUGCGCAGAGAUAUGGAGGAACACCAGUGGCGAAGGCGACUUUCUGGUCUGUAACUGACGCUGAUGUGCGAAAGCGUGGGGAUCAAACAGGAUUAGAUACCCUGGUAGUCCACGCCGUAAACGAUGAGUGCUAAGUGUUAGGGGGUUUCCGCCCCUUAGUGCUGCAGCUAACGCAUUGAGCACUCCGCCUGGGGAGUACGACCGCAAGGUUGAAACUCAAAGGAAUUGACGGGGACCCGCACAAGCGGUGGAGCAUGUGGUUUAAUUCGAAGCAACGCGAAGAACCUUACCAAAUCUUGACAUCCUUUGACAACUCUAGAGAUAGAGCCUUCCCCUUCGGGGGACAAAGUGACAGGUGGUGCAUGGUUGUCGUCAGCUCGUGUCGUGAGAUGUUGGGUUAAGUCCCGCAACGAGCGCAACCCUUAAGCUUAGUUGCCAUCAUUAAGUUGGGCACUCUAAGUUGACUGCCGGUGACAAACCGGAGGAAGGUGGGGAUGACGUCAAAUCAUCAUGCCCCUUAUGAUUUGGGCUACACACGUGCUACAAUGGACAAUACAAAGGGCAGCGAAACCGCGAGGUCAAGCAAAUCCCAUAAAGUUGUUCUCAGUUCGGAUUGUAGUCUGCAACUCGACUACAUGAAGCUGGAAUCGCUAGUAAUCGUAGAUCAGCAUGCUACGGUGAAUACGUUCCCGGGUCU
rnacentral:rRNA from 1 species